rnacentral:tRNA from 1 species
GCGCGUGUAGCUCAGUUGGUUAGAGCGGUUGUCUUAUAAACAACAGGUUCGAUGGUUCGAGUCCAUCCACGCGCACAA